rnacentral:tRNA from 1 species
CGCCGUGCGGCGGGGUGUUUGCGCGGCGGUUCGAGUUCGCCGUGGGCGACCCGGUCGGGUUCGUGUCCUUCUCGGCGG